rnacentral:rRNA from 1 species
ANGNGCGNCCUAUCAUGCAGUCGAGCGGACAGAAGGGAGCUUGCUCCCGGAUGUUAGCGGCGGACGGGUGAGUAACACGUGGGUAACCUGCCUGUAAGACUGGGAUAACUCCGGGAAACCGGAGCUAAUACCGGAUAGUUCCUUGAACCGCAUGGUUCAAGGAUGAAAGACGGUUUCGGCUGUCACUUACAGAUGGACCCGCGGCGCAUUAGCUAGUUGGUGGGGUAAUGGCUCACCAAGGCGACGAUGCGUAGCCGACCUGAGAGGGUGAUCGGCCACACUGGGACUGAGACACGGCCCAGACUCCUACGGGAGGCAGCAGA